rnacentral:rRNA from 1 species
AUACGGAGGGGGCUAGCGUUGUUCGGAAUUACUGGGCGUAAAGCGUACGUAUGCGGACUGAUCAGUUGUGGGUGAAAUCCCAGGGCUUAACCCUGGAACUGCCUCUAAUACUGCCAGUCUUGAGUUCGGGAGAGGUGAGUGGAAUUCCUAGUGUAGAGGUGAAAUUCGUAGAUAUUAGGAAGAACACCAGUGGCGAAGGCGGCUCACUGGCCCGAUACUGACGCUGAGGCGCGAAAGCGUGGGGAGCAAACAGGAUUAGAAACCCUAGUAGUCC